rnacentral:rRNA from 1 species
AUUGAACGCUGGCGGCAGGCUUAACACAUGCAAGUCGAGCGGAGAUGAGGUGCUUGCACCUUAUCUUAGCGGCGGACGGGUGAGUAAUGCUUAGGAAUCUGCCUAUUAGUGGGGGACAACAUUCCGAAAGGAAUGCUAAUACCGCGUACGUCCUACGGGAGAAAGCAGGGGAUCUUCGGACCUUGCGCUAAUAGAUGAGCCUAAGUCGGAUUAGCUAGUUGGUGGGGUAAAGGCCUACCAAGGCGACGAUCUGUAGCGGGUCUGAGAGGAUGGUCCGACACACUGGGACUGAGACACGGCACAGACUCCUACGGGAGGCAGCAGUGGGGAAUAUUGGACAAUGGGGGGAACCCUGAUCCAGCCAUGCCGCGUGUGUGAAGAAGGCCUUAUGGUUGUAAAGCACUUUAAGCGAGGAGGAGGCUACUGAGACUAAUACUCUUGGAUAGUGGACGUUACUCGCAGAAUAAGCACCGGCUAACUCUGUGCCAGCCGCCGCUGUAACAC